GAGUUUGAUCCUGGCUCAGAUUGAACGCUGGCGGCAGGCCUAACACAUGCAAGUCGAGCGGUAGAGAGAAGCUUGCUUCUCUUGAGAGCGGCGGACGGGUGAGUAAUGCCUAGGAAUCUGCCUGGUAGUGGGGGAUAACGCUCGGAAACGGACGCUAAUACCGCAUACGUCCUACGGGAGAAAGCAGGGGACCUUCGGGCCUUGCGCUAUCAGAUGAGCCUAGGUCGGAUUAGCUAGUUGGUGAGGUAAUGGCUCACCAAGGCGACGAUCCGUAACUGGUCUGAGAGGAUGAUCAGUCACACUGGAACUGAGACACGGUCCAGACUCCUACGGGAGGCAGCAGUGGGGAAUAUUGGACAAUGGGCGAAAGCCUGAUCCAGCCAUGCCGCGUGUGUGAAGAAGGUCUUCGGAUUGUAAAGCACUUUAAGUUGGGAGGAAGGGCAGUAAAUUAAUACUUUGCUGUUUUGACGUUUACCGACAGAAUAAGCACCGGCUAACUCUGUGCCAGCACG
rnacentral:rRNA from 1 species